rnacentral:lncRNA from 1 species
CAAGUAGAGUUUCAUGACCCUCUCCUCUCAUUCAAUGGGGUGCUCUUUAUAGCAUGUAGGGGUGCCACUGUGAGGUCCCAUGAAGAAGAAAGUAAAAAAAAAAAAUUACUUUCUUGCAAAAUCCUAGAUUUUGAAACCCUAGGUGUUGUUGUAUGCGAUGCAAGUUAUGAAGAAACUAAUUACAUCUAAUCUUGAUUAAUCAAAAUUAUUUUGAUUUAAAAUCAUAAAAAAUUAGAUUU